UGGGGAAUAUUGCACAAUGGGCGCAAGCCUGAUGCAGCCAUGCCGCGUGUAUGAAGAAGGCCUUCGGGUUGUAAAGUACUUUCAGUCGGGAGGAAGGGAGUAAAGUUAAUACCUUUGCUCAUUGACGUUACCCGCAGAAGAAGCACCGGCUAACUCCGUGCCAGCAGCCGCGGUAAUACGGAGGGUGCAAGCGUUAAUCGGAAUUACUGGGCGUAAAGCGCACGCAGGCGGUUUGUUAAGUCAGAUGUGAAAUCCCCGGGCUCAACCUGGGAACUGCAUCUGAUACUGGCAAGCUUGAGUCUCGUAGAGGGGGGUAGAAUUCCAGGUGUAGCGGUGAAAUGCGUAGAGAUGUGGAGGAAUACCGGUGGCGAAGGCGGCCCCCUGGACAAAGACUGACGCUCAGGUGCGAAAGCGUGGGGAGCAAACAGG
rnacentral:rRNA from 1 species